rnacentral:misc_RNA from 1 species
GAAAAUGAUGGAAGAUCCAACAGUGCAGAAGAUGGUUUACCCCUAUCUACCCGAGGAGAUGAGGAACCCUACAACAUUUAAAUGGAUGCUACAAAAUCCACAAUACCGUCAACAGUUGCAGGACAUGAUGAAUAACAUGGGUGGAAACCCAGAAUGGGACAACCGCAUGAUGGAUUCCUUGAAGAAUUUUGAUCUCAGCAGCCCUGAAAUCAAGCAACAAUUUGAUCAGAUAGGACUUACUCCCGAGGAAGUCAUUUCGAAGAUUAUGGCUAAUCCUGAUGUUGCCAUGGCUUUCCAAAAUCCAAGAGUUCAAGCAGCCAUCAUGGAUUGUUCUCAGAAUCCACUGAGUAUUGCAAAAUACCAAAAUGACAAGGAGGUGAUGGACGUCUUCAACAAAAUAUCAGAACUAUUCCCUGGGGUGUCAGGUGCGCCUUGAUUAUCUCCGUCCUGCCUAAGCAGCUAUUAUGUGACAACGCUGUCAUUUUUGUUCUGUUUGAGUGAAGUAUCAGUCAGAAUUGUUGGGCUCUGAGAUGUAGUUUUCGCCCUCUGUUGCAACUCGGAUGCACAUGAAAACGUCGCUUCCUUUAUAUAAAUUCAUUGCCCUUCUCAAAUUUUGUGGAUGUGAACAUACUUGCCUUGGCUUACCAGUAGUCUUUAGAAGCCAAUUUCAGUUGUAUAUUUGCCAGUUUCUUUAUGGUUUUAGAGUUACUUAAGCUUAUUCAACUGUAUGAUUUGAUGAAAC